UCCCUGGAGGACUAGUGGUUAGGCCACAGCACUCUCUCUGCUGUGGCCCAGGUUUGAUUCCCGGCCAGGGAA
rnacentral:tRNA from 1 species